rnacentral:rRNA from 1 species
GAUGAACGCUGGCGGCGUGCCUAAUUCAUGCAAGUCGAGCGAACGGACGAGAAGCUUGCUUCUCUGAUGUUAGCGGCGGACGGGUGAGUAACACGUGGAUAACCUACCUAUAAGACUGGGAUAACUUCGGGAAACCGGAGCUAAUACCGGAUGAUAUUUUGAACCGCAUGGUUCAAAAGUGAAAGACGGUCUUGCUGUCACUUAUAGAUGGAUCCGCGCUGCAUUAGCUAGUUGGUAAGGUAACGGCUUACCAAGGCAACGAUGCAUAGCCGACCUGAGAGGGUGAUCGGCCACACUGGAACUGAGACACGGUCCAGACUCCUACGGGAGGCAGCAGUAGGGAAUCUUCCGCAAUGGGCGAAAGCCUGACGGAGCAACGCCGAGUGAGUGAUGAAGGUCUUCGGAUCGUAAAACUCUGUUAUUAGGGAAGAACAUAUGUGUAAGUAACUGUGCACAUCUUGACGGUACCUAAUCAGAAAGCCACGGCUAACUACGUG